rnacentral:ncRNA from 18 species
AGAAGUGGAGUAGGUUUGAAAGAACAAAUUCAAAUAUCAAUGCAAACGGUGGGCAUGUUAUGCUGAAAAGGCUCGAGGGACAAGUCAAGGUACUAGCUAUUUCGUGAGUUCCUCGGGCAAAGGAAAAGACGUUCAAAACAAGUCACAGGGCAACAGAAAAUGGUAUUCUACGUUGUAUUUUCUAGCAAUACAACAAAUUUAUCAUACGAAUAAGGGAGAACCUAGAAAUCCAGUGUUUCGGGUUUAUUUCGAGCGGAAAGUUUCAGAUGCU